rnacentral:rRNA from 1 species
ACCAGACUCCUACGGGAGGCAGCAGUGAGGAAUAUUGGUCAAUGGGCGAGAGCCUGAACCAGCCAAGUCGCGUGAGGGAGGACGGCCCUACGGGUUGUAAACCUCUUUUGCCGGGGGACAAACGGCGGCACGCGUGCCGUCCUGAGGGUACCCGGAGAAAAAGCAUCGGCUAACUCCGUGCCAGCAGCCGCGGUAAUACGGAGGAUGCGAGCGUUAUCCGGAUUUAUUGGGUUUAAAGGGUGCGCAGGCGGCCUAGUAAGUCGGCGGUGAAACCGCGGGGCCCACCCCCGGGCCGCCGUUGAAACUGGCAGUCUCGAGUUGGAGAGAAGUAUGCGGAAUGCGCGGUGUAGCGGUGAAAUGCAUA